ACAUUUAUAUGCUAACUAAAUAUUGAACUUUUCAGGCCCUCAGUGAAAGCGAUUCGGACGAGGAAAGCGAUUGGGAUGAGGAAAGUACGGAUGUUAGUAGUGAUGAUGAUGAAAGCGAUUCGGAUGAGGAAAGUGAUUCGGAUGAGGAAAGUACGGAAGUUAGUAGUGAUGAUGAAGUCGAUUCCAAAACUUCGACUGGAACUCACGACGAAAAGGUAAAUAUCCCAUUUCAACAUUGUAGUUUAGAUAUUUCGAAAAAAUUCUAGGGUUUGACACGUACUACCACUACUACUACUACUACAACUACGUAUCCAAUCUGUGUAAGUACUAUAAUGACCUCGGAACUAAACCCGUUAUUUUCUUGCGGCGAUUCAUAUGUAUACUCCAUUGUUUCUAUUGUGUAUGGCAGUGUGUUUGUGUAAAAUCUGAAAGCUCUUCACCUUCUGAGAAACCUAAGUAUCGGCCAAAGAAAGGGGAUAGAGUGAAGUACGUGGGGCAGACCCUCGAAACAGAGAACACCAAUACUCAAAUACGAAAGAUCUUGUAUAAUGACCAAAGAGGGGAGGUGCUUAAAGUAAAUGGUGACAAAGUAGACGUUAUCUUCUCCGUGGGAAUCGGAUCACGCAGAAACGACGAGGGAAUCUCGGAAAGAUUUAUACAACAAUCAGCAGUUUAUUCCCUUGAUGGUACAUGCAUUGUCUUUAUACAUUACGAAUGCAGUUAAAAGUAGUUUAUAUCAUCAUUUUUUUUAGUAAUUAUUUAUCCACGAAAAACGUCGAAAUUUUUCGUUUUAAUUUGCAGUGAAGGACAUUGUACGAGAUCCCAGUGCCAAAACUCACGACUGCUUUGUUGCUUUGGAAAUGAUUUGCGAGGUACUAUUUUUCAGAUAUUGCAAAAUGACAUAACGUACGUAACCCCAUCACACACCAAGUUUAAUUUAGCGCCCGUUUGGGUAAGCUUAUUAUAAACUGCUGAUAAGUUCUAACAUCUGAUAAGCGCCUGAAGAGCUGAUAAGUUGCUACGUCUUACAGUGUUUUCGGAUAAUGAGCUUAUAAAAUUAUUUUCACACUCAUUAUAAGAUCUUAAAUAA